GGGGCGGGGCCGGCGGGGGGUUGUCGCAGAAGUGAUGCAGAGCCCGCCUGGCGUAACAAAGCCCGAGCGCGGGAGGCGACGCUGGCUGACUGCUGUGGGCACGUGCUCCCGGCAGGCUUUGCGCAGCUGCGCACCUGCCCGCGGCGCCUGACGAAUCGCCACCUCCUGUGGGCGCCUGAAGACGCGUUUGAGGUUUUCACAUUUGCAGUUUAUUCACGAUCAGAAGGUGGUAGUAUCUGAACACAUCCCUCUUCUUGCACUAACUGGGAAAAACGAUAAGAGUUUUGCUUAGGCCUUUUCGCCUGCAGUAUUUGCUGAAAUCCUUCCCACUGAUCUGUACAUCAUAGUCCUUGCACUCCCUGAAGACUUUGACUCCAAGUUAAGAAGUGAGCUCUCCAUCAGGGCCCACGAUACACACACGCACGCGAGAUAACCUAAGGUUGCGAAGGAGCUUAGCGACGCUUGCACGGAUCUCCAGCAGCGAGCGGCCGGAGCUCCCGCGGGAACAAGCCCGCACUUGGCGGCCGCGCGGGUGCUCCAGGUUUCCUCCUCCUGGCUCUCCAACCCGCAGGACAAAGGCUGCAGCGACGGUCACGCGACUAGGGAUCCCAGAGAAGCGAGGGCAGGGGACACCUCGCUAGACCCAGGUGGUCAGCAC